rnacentral:rRNA from 1 species
UACGGAGGGUGCGAGCGUUGUCCGGAAUCACUGGGCGUAAAGGGCGCGUAGGCGGCCUGAUAAGUAGGGGGUGAAAUCCUGCGGCUUAACCGCAGGGCUGCCUUCUAAACUGUCAGGCUCGAGCACAGUAGAGGCAGGUGGAAUUCCCGGUGUAGCGGUGGAAUGCGUAGAGAUCGGGAAGAACAUCAGUGGCGAAGGCGGCCUGCUGGGCUGACACUGACACUGAGGCGCGAGAGCGUGGGGAGCAAACAGG